rnacentral:tRNA from 1 species
GCUCCCGUGGUGUAGUCCGGCCAAUCAUGAAGCCCUCUCGAGGCUUCGACUCGGGUUCAAAUCCCGACGGGAGCACCA